rnacentral:rRNA from 1 species
GCAAACCUGCGGCGUGCUAAUACAUGCAGUCUACGCACGAAGAUGAAGAGCUUGCUCUUUACCAAGUGAGUGGCGGACGGGUGAGUAACACGUGGGUAACCUGCCCAUUAGAGGGGGAUAAAGUUCGGAAACGGAUGCUAAUACCGCGUAGUUUCAGGAAUCGCAUGAUUCUUGAAGGAAAGGUGGCUUCGGCUACCACUAAUGGAUGGACCCGCGGCGUAUUAGCUAGUUGGUGAGGUAAUGGCUCACCAAGGCAAUGAUACGUAGCCGACCUGAGAGGGUGAUCGGCCACACUGGGACUGAGACACGGCCCAGACUCCUACGGGAGGCAGCAGUAGGGAAUCUUCCGCAAUGGACGAAAGUCUGACGGAGCAACGCCGCGUGAGUGAAGAAGGUUUUCGGAUCGUAAAACUCUGUUGUUAAAGAAGAACAAGGAUGAGAGUAACUGCUCAUCCCCUGACGGUAUUUAACCAGAAAGCCACGGCUAACUACGUGCCAGCAGCCGCGGUAAU